rnacentral:rRNA from 1 species
GACAGAGGGGGCAAGCGUUGCUCGGAAUUACUGGGCGUAAAGGGCGCGUAGGCGGGAUGGCAAGUCGGUCGUGAAAUCCCUCGGCUCAACUGAGGAUCGUCGAUCGAUACUGCCGUUCUUGAGGAUUGCAGAGGAGACUGGAAUUCCCGGUGUAGCGGUGAAAUGUGUAGAGAUCGGGAGGAACACCGAUGGCGAAGGCAGCCCCCUGGGAUAACACUGACGCUCAUGCACGAAAGCGUGGGGAGCAAACGAGG